rnacentral:rRNA from 1 species
GACAGAGGGUGCAAACGUUGUUCGGAAUUACUGGGCGUAAAGCGCGUGUAGGCGGUCUCGUAAGUCGGGUGUGAAAGCCCUGGGCUCAACCCAGGAAGUGCACUCGAAACUGCGAGGCUAGAGUACUGGAGAGGUUGGUGGAAUUCUCGGUGUAGAGGUGAAAUUCGUAGAUAUCGAGAGGAACACCGGUGGCGAAGGCGGCCAACUGGACGGAUACUGACGCUGAGACUCGAAAGCGUGGGGAGCAAACAGG